GAUGAACGCUGGCGGCGUGCCUAAUACAUGCAAGUCGAGCGAGCGGACGAGAAGCUUGCUUCUCUGAUGUUAGCGGCGGACGGGUGAGUAACACGUGGAUAACCUACCUAUAAGACUGGGAUAACUUCGGGAAACCGGAGCUAAUACCGGAUAAUAUUUUGAACCGCAUGGUUCAAAAGUGAAAGACGGUCUUGCUGUCACUUAUAGAUGGAUCCGCGCUGCAUUAGCUAGUUGGUAAGGUAACGGCUUACCAAGGCAACGAUGCAUAGCCGACCUGAGAGGGUGAUCGGCCACACUGGAACUGAGACACGGUCCAGACUCCUACGGGAGGCAGCAGUAGGGAAUCUUCCGCAAUGGGCGAAAGCCUGACGGAGCAACGCCGCGUGAGUGAUGAAGGUCUUCGGAUCGUAAAACUCUGUUAUUAGGGAAGAACAUAUGUGUAAGUAACUGUGCACAUCUUGACGGUACCUAAUCAGAAAGCCACGGCUAACUACGUGCCAGCAGCCGCGGUAAUACGUAGGUGGCAAGCGUUAUCCGGAAUUAUUGGGCGUAAAGCGCGCGUAGGCGGUUUUUUAAGUCUGAUGUGAAAGCCCACGGCUCAACCGUGGAGGGUCAUUGGAAACUGGAAAACUUGAGUGCAGAAGAGGAAAGUGGAAUUCCAUGUGUAGCGGUGAAAUGCGCAGAGAUAUGGAGGAACACCAGUGGCGAAGGCGACUUUCUGGUCUGUAACUGACGCUGAUGUGCGAAAGCGUGGGGAUCAAACAGGAUUAGAUACCCUGGUAGUCCACGCCGUAAACGAUGAGUGCUAAGUGUUAGGGGGUUUCCGCCCCUUAGUGCUGCAGCUAACGCAUUAAGCACUCCGCCUGGGGAGUACGACCGCAAGGUUGAAACUCAAAGGAAUUGACGGGGACCCGCACAAGCGGUGGAGCAUGUGGUUUAAUUCGAAGCAACGCGAAGAACCUUACCAAAUCUUGACAUCCUUUGACAACUCUAGAGAUAGAGCCUUCCCCUUCGGGGGACAAAGUGACAGGUGGUGCAUGGUUGUCGUCAGCUCGUGUCGUGAGAUGUUGGGUUAAGUCCCGCAACGAGCGCAACCCUUAAGCUUAGUUGCCAUCAUUAAGUUGGGCACUCUAAGUUGACUGCCGGUGACAAACCGGAGGAAGGUGGGGAUGACGUCAAAUCAUCAUGCCCCUUAUGAUUUGGGCUACACACGUGCUACAAUGGACAAUACAAAGGGCAGCGAAACCGCGAGGUCAAGCAAAUCCCAUAAAGUUGUUCUCAGUUCGGAUUGUAGUCUGCAACUCGACUACAUGAAGCUGGAAUCGCUAGUAAUCGUAAAUCAGCAUGCUACGGUGAAUACGUUCCCGGGUCU
rnacentral:rRNA from 1 species